rnacentral:lncRNA from 1 species
ACGUUAUUAGAUAAAAUGGAGUUGGGAAAAAAGUAUAUAGGGAUAUGCUUCUGCGUUCUCCGAUAGGACCACAAAAAAUAUAUCGUAACCGACUCAUCGCAAUAUCCGGAACGUAAUAUUAUGUACGGAAACAAACAGAAUAUUUUUUCAACGUACUUUUCCACCACACGUAAUGCAAUAUCUCCACAAUCUCAAACGAAGCCGUAGGCUGUUUAGAGUUUGUUUCAUUCAUGAAAUUCAAAAUUUUCGUUCAAAAUUAAUUUUUCAAAAAAUCUAUUUUUAUAAU